rnacentral:snRNA from 1 species
GUGCUCGUUUUGGCAGCAUAUAUACUAAAAUUGGAACGAUAUAGAGAAGAUUAGCAUGGCCCCUGCACAAGGAUGACAUGCAAAUUCGUGAAGCGUUAAAAAAUUUU